UUUACUUGUUUCCAUGUCCAUUGUCCAGAGAUCCAUGAUACCAACAUGGAUCUCUGGGCAAUGGACAUGGAAACAAGUAAA
rnacentral:pre_miRNA from 1 species